rnacentral:miRNA from 1 species
UGGGGAGGACAGAAGCAAAAGA